GUUGAGGUCUAUCCGGAUGGGGCUUUUUCUGUAGACCUACAUUGUUGGAAACGCCUCACAGAGUAAUGAGGUUUCCUUUACUCACAGAACUGGCUGUUAGAUCCGUGGGAAAGAACUACAAGACAGAG
ensembl:snoRNA